rnacentral:lncRNA from 10 species
GAGACCUUUUGCAUGUUCACACAGCAAGUACAAGAGAAAGGGGGCAACGUGGAUUUUUUCUAAAUCAUGUUUCCCAGCUGAGGAACAGGCUGGAGCAUGAGAGGAGUACAGAGCCAUUACAACCGUUUAGAUGGGCUUCUCGUUUCAACAGGGUCACACUAUCUUCUCCGGAAAGCCCACUUUCCAUGCCAAGCAACAGGAGAGGUUUUGAAGGCCAGGGAUUUGUUUCUCUUCCUUGUUACCCUUCCCACCCAGGUUGUCACACCAUACAAGAGGAAUAAAGAAUACACUGAGAAAUACUGAAUAGACCAAAAGUCUGACAAAUAACCAAGCAUUUUCAUAAAAAGAAAGAGUUUGGUAAUUGUCAAUUUACUCUGGUUUUGCUUCCAGUUGGUUCCCUUUUCAGCUGAUUAGCGCAAGUGACUAUUGAGAGCAUGGAAGCAUCUCAGGGUUGAAGAGACAGGAGUCCCAUUUUCCACUUCCUGCCCUCUUGGGUAACUCUGCUUCCUCCUGAGCAAAGAGUUAAUGAAGACAUUGUUGCUUUUUUUUUUUUUUUUUUUGCAAAUAAGGAAAGGCAGACACUGAAUGUUUAUUAUUCAGUAUGAACAUAGAGGCAAAACUAGGAGAAAAAACAGAUAUGAGGUUUCCAGAACUAUGGAAUUUUAGGCAUAUUAUAUUAUCAGUUAUCAUUUAUUGAGUACUUACUAUGGACCAGCCACUGCAUUAAGCAUUUUACAUAGUCUAUUACAUAGUUUAAUUUUAAAUUUUUAUUUAUUUACUUAUUAGAGUCCCACUCUCACCCAGGCUGGAGUGCAGUGGCAUGAAAUAAUAGCUCACUGCAACCUCAAACUCCUGGGCUCAGGUAAUCCCCCUGCCUCAGUCUCCCAAGCAGCUGGGAAUAUAGGUGUGUGCCACCACACCUGGCUAAAGUUUAUUACAUAGUUUAUUAGUCUUGACAACAGCCCUAUGACAUAGGUACAAUUAUUAUCCCCAUUUUACAGAUGAAGAAACUGAGGCUUACAGAGGUUAGGUAACUUUAACCAAGCCUAAACAGCUAGUAAGUGGUGGAAGUGAUUCAAAUCUAAGACUGUGUUACUAAAAGAGCUGUGUUCUCAAUCACUCUGCCACACGGUACAAGAGAGGUGUUAGCUAGAAUGCCUUCAGGGGCAUAAUAAUAAUUAUAGUUAAUGCUGUUGUGGAAGGCUUAUUAUAUGGUAGACCCUAUUCUAAACACUCACCUAUGUCAACUUUAGGCUCUGCAUCUCACACUCUAUAAAGAAGGUGCUAUUAUUGGGCGCAUUUUACAGUAAGGAAAGUGAGGCACAGAGAGGUCUUAAGUUCACGGAACUAAUGAAUGGUGGAGCAGGGCUACAAAUUCAGGCACUCUGACUCCAAAGAUCAUCCUCUUAGCUGCUAAGCUAUGUUAAGGUAAAAUGUUCGUUUCUGUGUGAGGAAGCCCAGUCCACUUCGAGAGUCAGCUUUCUUUGUUAGAAAGUUGUGCCUGCAGCUCUAAUAGACUUCUCAGAAGCAAACAGAAGGGUUCAAGAGUCCAGCUGACAGCAGAGGCUCUUGCUCAAUCCUUUCCCAGAAUGCUUGUCUCCAUUACCCUUUAACCUGCAUCUUUGAACAAAUUGAUAUAUGGGGAGUUCAGCAAUGGCAGAUCUCAGCUGUGCCUUUAAUGUUUGAUAUGUCUGCUAGCACACCAUGUUUUUCAUUGGAUCUAAAGGAGAUCUAAUGAGAGAUCAUUUCCUAGUAACACAUUGUCUGCUUUCAACAUCACUAGGAAAGCACUUUGCUGCAAACAAUCCCUAUGUUGGUUUAAUUGCCUUUGAAAAGGGGCACAAGAGGGAGCAUCAACUCUUCAGAGUUUGGGUCUGAUUUCCUGAGGUGUUCCAUUUCAGAAGAGGCCCCUGACAACAGGCAGAGAAUAAAAACAAGUGUGGUCUAGGGCAGACAGUGUUUUUCAAACAGUUGGCCAAAUCUCUCCUGGCAGCCGGGAAGCAGCUGAAUCAUCAAACACUAGGCCUCUAACGAGAUGGAGGCUGGGCUGUAUUGAAGUGCAUUCCAGACUGACUGUGAAACCCAGAGCUGCUGCUGCUUUCCCAAUGCUGGCUCCCUUCCAAGGGGCUGGCCCAGCUGAGCUGCUUGUCAAAGCUUCAUUUUGUCUCUUCUCUCUCUUUUUUUCCUCCUCUUUGUGAUUUCCCAUGUAGCAUUUGCCUGCCCUUGGAUAGAAUAUUUGGAUGAAUUUUGGGGUCACCUCAGGUACAGCCUCUGCUCUGCAAGCUAAAGUUCAUGAACUGUGUUUACCUGUUGGAAAGUCAGAAUGGCAGAGGGGAAAGGCACUAAGCUAGAGCACUCGGGGAAUGGACAAGUGGACAGACAUUCUUUUCUGAGAGGCAGGAAUGACCUAGACAUUCCGAAAUUGAAAGCCAGAUGUUGGGAUAAAACUCUAGACUCAAUUUGAAUCGUAGGAGUGUUGACAACCUUGAUGAAAUCCUAUGACUAAAACUUUCUAGAGUAGAGGGGAAUUAAUGGGGCCUAAGUAGGGUAACCCACCUUGAAAAUAACCAGAUCCCUCUAUUUAUAUCAGAAACAAAUGUUUGGACUCUUUAAGUGCCAUGGUCUGAAUGUUUGUGUCUCCCCCAAAAUUCAUAUAUUGAAACCUAAUCCCCAACGUGGUGGUAAUUGAAGGCAGAGCCUUUAGGUGGUAAUUAGGUCAUGAGGGCAGAGCCCUCAUGAAUGGGAUUAGUGCCCUUAUAAAAGAGGGCAGAGGGAGCUUGUUUGGCCCUUCAGCCAUGUGAAGACGCAGCAAGAAAGUGCCAUCCAUGAAGCAGAGAGUGAGACCCCAUCAGACACUGAGUCUGCUGAUGCCUUGAUCUGGGACUUCCCAGCCUUCAGAACUAUCUGGCACAUUUCAGAAGUUGCUGACGUGUUGAUGCCUGCUAAAACACAACGUGGGAAGAAGAAUGAAUGUGGGCAAGCUCGGCUAGCCACUCAGAGGGAAAUGAUCUCAUUUCUCCUGCUGGGCAACCCCCAGUUGCUGCUACUCAGUCCUUCUUGAAGUCCAUUUUCGUAAACACUUUGCUGAUCAAGAAGUGUCUGAAGAUGGGAAGACGGAGAAAGCUUGUAUUGUUUACUGAGUAUCAGAGGACACUUCCUUCAAGUGACCUAAGGCAUGUGUGAGUGCUAUCCUACGAGCCACAUUCUAAAGGAGUGAAGUCAUCACGAACACUGCCUUAGAAGAGUGAGUUAGUGCCAAAGACUAUCCUCAACAGCAUUUACAGACUCACUUUUCUAAAAAUCCAGAGAUUUUUUUUAACAUAUAAAUCAAGAAUGAACAAGGCAAAUGUUCAGCAAUUCACUUCCAUGCAUUACUCCCCUUCUCCUUGGAACUCAAUUUCUUAGCCAGGUUGCUUUUUGGGGCUAAAAGAAAGGAAAACAGAGAUGGAGACAGACAGGGCCAAGAAGCCAAUAAAGAGAUGAGCUGCACAAAGCUAUAAUAAUCAGUAAACCUAAGCAGGAAAAAGCUGAGAGGAAGGAAAGUUACUUAAAAUCAGAGAAUGCGGGGAGGGAGAAAAAUUGCUUAAAAUUAGUUUACAGAAAAAGAAAAUUAAUCUCCAUUUUACUGUUGAAUGACCUUUAGUCUGGAAUUAGAAUUCUAUAAAGUCUAAACAAAGAGCCACAUUUAAUUCCCUGGGAAACUCCAAUUUUAACUUGGCUUUAAUAAUAAAAAUUUUUGUGUGCAAAUUCCGAAAGCAGCACACACAAAGAAAUUAAAGAAUACAAAAACCUGUCCUAGGUAAUCAUGGAAAUCUUACGUAAAGAGAAAAUGAAAAUCUUUUCAUGCAAUUGCACUUUACUCGAAAAUUCUACUAAUCCUGACCUUUCAGGUUUUGUGAAGUGCCAAAUGCAAAUUAAAUGAAAAUGAAAUCACAAUACAUUGGAUUUUAGAGAAAGGAAAUGGCUAAUCAUGAAUGCUUUUUUUUUUGGCAAGAACUGUUCAGGUGAAUAUUAUGCUUAGUAAUUGUUCAGGCAAGAAAGUGGGUAGAAAUAAGCUUUCUCUCCUACCAUGAGGCUGGAUGCAUGCUUUGUUCUCUGAGGGAAAGAUCUCUACACAUUGAAUAAAGGCGAAGUACUUACACUGGACUUUAGCGAGAGUCUGACCCACAGAAUUCCUUUCCUUUGUGGGAAAUAGGGGCAAUUCUCAGCAUGGGAAGUACACACACACACACACACACACACACACACACAUACACACACACACACACACACACACACACACAGACACAUCGCGCCCACUCUUUCCUUGCCUGCGCCUUUUGUCUCCAAACCUAAGGGACCACACACCAUCUCCAUUUUAUAGGCCCCUGUUUGACACUCUUAGGCAUUUCAAAUUUAUCCUGCCCAAGCCUAUAUUUAACAUUCUAGAUUAAAAUCAGAGAAUGUUAAAGCUGAAAGUUACCUUAUAUACACAUAGGUCGGCCAGUCAGUCAGCUCUUGCAAUAUUAAGGCCAUUUAAAUAAUUUAAUUGGCAAAUUAAAUUUCCUUGCUUUUUUCGGAAAAAAAAUAUAUUAUGUAAAGUUAGGUUAGCCUCUACAAAAGUAUUUGUGCUUUAGCUGUAAUCUGGCCAAUGAUUUUAGUGAUCAUUUAUGAAAAUAUAUCAUUCAUUCUAAGUCCUGUUAGGCAUUUAGAGGUGAAUUGAAAAUACUUAUUUCUGAAUUUGUUCCUCCUCUAUUUCUUAGGAUCACCUCUACCUCCCAUGCACAUUAACCUGGGAAAGAGACAGAAAAAAUCAGAAAAAAAAGAUGUUAGGAGAAGCUGAACAGACUGAAAUUCUCCAGAAUGAGAGUGAAAGGAGCUGAAAUGCCUUUGAAAUAUUAUUUCUCAGCAAACAAAAAUCACAGAAUAGAUGCUGCAGACUUGAAAAUGGAUAAACACUGUUUGUGCCUACAUCUUUAUCUCUUUGCAAUCACCUCAAGAUUGAAUUGUACUGUACACUAUGGAUGUCUAGUUGUGCUUCAGUUAUAGUACAUUUCCUUUGAUGCCAACUUCCCUAAUGUCAGGAUUUUUCCCAGAUUAAGAGUGAGAACUGGGAUUGAGCCAAACAACAACACAGAAUCCAUAAUCUUCAAUACAGUUCAAGGUUGUUUCUAGGGAUUAAAGAGUAGAAAAACACACCAAUGCAAUAUAGGGCAAAACAAAAUAUAGUGAUAUCUCACCCUAUCACCUAGCACACAGUCAUAUACAGAAAGGCUUAUAAUUUAUCUUGGUAGUAAAAAAUGUGUUACCUUAAGCCCUCUAUAGUUAGAUGAUUGCGUGAAAGGUAAAAAAGCAGAUUAGAAGGGAUGCAUCCAGGCAUAAAAAAGGAAUGCUGAUAGUAGAAGAGGAAAAUGUGAAAUACCCAGGGUCCAAGCUUAGUACACUAUGGUUAAUUAGUGGUGAGGAGCAAGAGCUAGUUAGUCCACAGGAGUCUCAGGGAUAGUGAGACCCCCAUCUCUAUAACAAAAAAAAAUGCCUGGUGUGGUAUCAUGUGCGCCUGUAGUCCCAGCUACUCAAGAGGCUGAGGUGGGAGGAUGGCUUGAGCCCAGGAGGUUGAGGCUGCAGUGAGCCAUGAUGAGCACACUACUUCACUC